GCCCGCAUAGCUCAGGGGCAGAGCACUAGUCUCGUUAACUAGGGGCCGUGAGUUCGAUUCUCACUGUGGGCA